rnacentral:sRNA from 2 species
UCAUAUGAAACGCUGAAUCUUUGAGCGGGGGAACCAAUUGCUUAAUUUAAGCCGGGGUGAAUCACCAUGUGUGUAGGGUUAAUCCAUUCGACCCGAAUCCGUCAGCUAACCUCGUAAGCGUUGAAGGAGGAAAAA